GCCGGGCAAGGUGGCAUACGUCUGUAAUCCGAGCAGCUCAGGAGGCUGAGGCAGGAGGAUCAUGAGAUCAAAGCCAGCCUCAGCAACUAAGCAAGACUGUAAGCAACUCAGUGAGAUCCUGUCUCUA
rnacentral:sRNA from 1 species